UGUCAUUAGAGGUGACAUCUAAUAUUUUUUUUCCCCUCUUGUUCUACAAGCUAUUUGAAGAAAAAUGUUCCGCUCUAAGUCAGAUUCCUCCGCGUGACGAUGAUGAUGAUGGCGACGAUGAUAACGAUGAUGCUGGAUUGGUGAGGCGAAAUAUGUAUCGGAGAAAAAAGAAGAGAAGAGUUGAUGGGGAUGAAAGCUUUUGUGGAGAAAGAAGAUGAGUUGAUGUAUCUUAGUUUUUUUUUAAAUUUAACUCCUUGUUUAACUUCUUGGAUUAUUAGACUUUAUAAAUAUUUGAGUGUUGAACUUGUAUAA